GGGGGUGUAGCUCAGUUGGUAGAGCGUUUCCAUGGCAUGGAAAAGGUCCUCGGUUCGACUCCGUGCACCUCCA
rnacentral:tRNA from 1 species